rnacentral:rRNA from 1 species
CGCUGGCGGCAGGCCUAACACAUGCAAGUCGAGCGGUAGCACAGAGAGCUUGCUCUCGGGUGACGAGCGGCGGACGGGUGAGUAAUGUCUGGGAAACUGCCUGAUGGAGGGGGAUAACUACUGGAAACGGUAGCUAAUACCGCAUAACGUCGCAAGACCAAAGAGGGGGACCUUCGGGCCUCUUGCCAUCAGAUGUGCCCAGAUGGGAUUAGCUAGUAGGUGGGGUAACGGCUCACCUAGGCGACGAUCCCUAGCUGGUCUGAGAGGAUGACCAGCCACACUGGAACUGAGACACGGUCCAGACUCCUACGGGAGGCAGCAGUGGGGAAUAUUGCACAAUGGGCGCAAGCCUGAUGCAGCCAUGCCGCGUGUAUGAAGAAGGCCCUCGGGUUGUAAAGUACUUUCAGCGAGGAGGAAGGCAUUGUGGUUAAUAACCACAGUGAUUGACGUUACUCGCAGAAGAAGCACCGGC